AAUAGCCAAAAAUUGUCAGUGGAUUCAGCGUGGGAUUGGUAAUGAGACGCACGCUAGAGAUCGCCGGAUCAUACAAACCACCGAUAAACACGGCUUUCAGCACGAGCAAUAAUGCACCCACCCCCAGCAGCACCAGAUGAAUGCCCAGAAUGGAGGUCAUUUUGCGACCAUCUUCCCA
rnacentral:antisense_RNA from 1 species